CCGAUAGCUCACAACAAACUUUUUAUUUUAAAUCAGCCCUGCACCUCUUCCCUCAAUCUGUACACAUAGGACUAGUCAACACAUGGCAGAUCCAAUACGUAGAGAUUGCAUUUUGCCUGAUAUUUCACAUUGCCAUCCUCUGCAGUUUUGUUCUGUGUUUGAUGAAAUAUCAAAACAAAUUGACACUACACUGCCCAAAUACAAAA